CCUACGGGUGGCAGCAGUGAGGAAUAUUGGUCAAUGGGCUUACGCCUGAACCAGCCAAGUCGCGUGAGGGAAGACUGCCCUAUGGGUUGUAAACCUCUUUUGUCAGGGAGCAACGCCGGCUACGUGUAGCCGGACUGAGAGUACCUGAAGAAAAAGCAUCGGCUAACUCCGUCCCAGCAGCCGCGGUAAUACGGAGGAUGCGAGCGUUAUCCGGAUUGAUUGGGUUUAAGGGGUGCGCAGGCGGGGGAUCAAGUCAGCGGUAAAAUGUCGGGGCGCAACCCCGGACGGCCGUUGAAACUGGUUUUCUAGAGUUGGAGAGAGGUAUGCGGAAUUCGUGGUGUAGCGGUGAAAUGCAUAGAGAUCACGAAGAACUCCGAUUGCGAAGGCAGCAUACCGG
rnacentral:rRNA from 1 species